UAGCUCAACAGUUGUCAUCCUGAUCUAUUGACUGCAUUUGUAGUGACCGGAAACACCACAAACGAUGGCGACAAACGGGGGUCGUGGAUACCUCCCCAACCGCAAUGAGGAGAAGACACGCAUGGAGGAGGCAAUCAGGCAACAACGCCACCUAGGACGCCGCACGACAUCGUCAUUGUGGCCAUGAACAACAACAAAAGGUAUGGUUUAGAUUUGACCUUACAGUUAGUUUAGGAAUCACACAUCACAAAGGUUUUGGCAUUCGGAUAGGCUUUUUAGGGUCUUAGACAACAUCCUAGAGUUAUUGGAAUCAAUAAAUGGCAUCGGAACCACCUUAGUGACCCUAGAUUCCCAAAUCCAUUUUAAAUUAAGAACAACUCUCGGGCAACAUGUGGAUGGGCCCAAAGAGUUCAUCCUUGCCCUCUCACCCUGAGCGAAUAAGAUCAGAGAAGAAGUGUAUGUAGAAAAAAGCAUAUCACAAAAAAUAGAUUAGGUUAGGGUCUCGGGUUAAAUAGAUAUUAAUCUUAAUUUCUAAGAACCAGAAGAAGAAUAAGAAAAAUGGAGGUUUAGGUUUUAGAAAAACACUAACCCUAAUCCCGAAAUGGAGAUCACAGAAACACAGGGGCUCGAUAUUUCAAGGUCCACGACCCAAAUCAACCGAUCAAGAACAAAGAUGAACACAUAACCAAUUUCCCCCAAAAUCGACGGAUCAAGUGCACAUUUGCACCAAGAACUCAGUAGGCCCUAAACUGAGGCAAAUGAAGUAGGCCCUUAGAAAAUUAGGUAAUUGCCGUUGGCAAGAACACGACUGCAAUUAGAUAUCUUAUGCCGAUUGAAAAUUAGGUAAUUGCCGUUGGCAAGAACACGACUGCAAUUACCGACUUGUCCAUUAGUCUGUAAAAGUUAGAUGUCAACGAAACUAUAACAACAAAAAUCACCUAUUUUUCAUGAGCGUAGAUUUAUUUUCAUUAACCUCUAAUCUAAAAAACUAAAUUUUUUGGAUGUAGGCUUAUUUUCGUUAGACUAGCUAGAAAAUUAUCCAGAUUAGUGCUCACUAGUUCAAUCGAAACUCGAUCACUCGUUCAAAUUUAUAUAGAAACUGAAUAAUCAUAAUUCGGGAUCUCUGGUGAACAAAACAGCAUGAUUUGUUAUAGAAGCACAGCGAUUUAAUUAUUCUCUCUCAGUCUCAGACUCUUGUCUCCUCUAUUUAUGGAACAGCCUUUCAAAAAAAAACAUCGAUCUGCGCGCGGCAGCGCAGAGUUCGUCCAUCUUCACUCUCUAGUACGCUUCGCUUAUACAAAACACACAAGACUUUAUUCAGCGUCCAUGGUCUCCGAGAAGGGUAGACCAGAGAUACUACACUACACCGGCGGUAGCGCCGCGCUUACUUGGCGGCCGCGGGCGCGAACGUGAGCAGGGUACGCGAGUCGAGCCAGGGCUUGACGACGACGACGGCGUCGAACACGCGCUCGCCGCCGUUCCCCGCGCCGCCGCCCUCCUCCACGGCCACGACGCGGAGGUAGUACUUGAGCCCCGACACCACCUGCCGCUGCGCCGCCACCACCCUGCCGAACUCGAGCCUGCCGCCGCCGCCGCCACCUUCUCGGAGCUGCCGGUUGUACUCGGCGACGGAGAACCGGCCGAGCUCCUGCACCUCGCCGUCGCCCUCCACGUCCCGCACCUCGGUCCUGGCCCCCACCUUCCUCCCGCGGUACUCGCCGCUCGGCUGCCGUAUGCCGGCCCCGCUGCCCUGGUCGUCGUGGGCGCGCGCGGCCGCCGCCGGCGCCGGCGCCGGCGCCAGGGCACCGAGCAGGACGGCGAGCAGCACGCAAGCGCCGAGCGCACGAGCCAUCGCAGUCCGCGCCGCGUGUCCUCCCGCUCUGCUUCUCACUAGCGGUGCCGUGGUGUGGUGUGUGUGUGUCAGUGUGAUUGUGUGCUGAGUUUGUGACAGCUUGUGAUGAGCGCGCGCGCACGCAGUGUGCGGUGCUGUGGUGUCGCCGUUAUAUACCAUAGCGGGAGGCGGCAGCUCGCCUGCUUGGAACGGAAAGGCGUCGCCAGUUUUGGAAGGCUCUGUGUGGUGCGGCCAAACGCGGCGCGGCGCGCAGUGGGUGCAUGAACUGCGCGUCCCGAGGCGGCGGCGCGCGGGAGGGAUAGGGACGACGGCAUCGGAGCGGAGGACACGUCGGGCGUGCUUGCGAGGGCGUGGUGCCGCGUAGACGGGGCUGCGUCCUGCGUGGGGUCGGCUCCUGAUGGGCGAUGACGUGGCGUGGCGAGGGGUUGUUUGUGACCAACAAACUGAGGGUUUUGUCGCGGCGCCACCUGCUGUGCGGCGGCCGGAGUGACCGGCACCACGGCUCCGGCUCUGUAUCACCCCGGCCCUUGCUCAGCUCAGCUGCUUGCCUAGUUGCACCCGUAAUUAUACAGGCUUGACUAUGCUGAACUCUUAAUCCCACGCUAUAUCACACUGAUUCCGAGGUCAAUGAUGAACACAGUCAGCUCGUGUCCAUUUCCUCUCCCUCCGGGCGUGUUUCAAUGUUUGGAGGUCUCGAUUGCUCUUGCCUCACCUUGUCGGGCCAGAAACUAAAAAAACAAUGGUUUAUUGUUGUAUUUGGAUCUCUUACUAGCUGCUUGCUUGCCUCAGUCUGUGAAAGCAAGGUGUUCUUUGCUCGCUUCUGUAGUUGUGCUAUAUCUUUUUGGAAUCUUGCUCUUAAUCUCUAACCACUAGAACAUAUAGACCUACUAACAAUUUACCUUUGACAGUAGAGCAAUGACCCAUGCCUCUGCUUGGAAAAUCAAAAGAGGCACAGCACACAAGACCGACGAUAGACAUAGGUCUUUACGGUGCUUCGGACUCCCCUGAUCGGUGAGUGCUUAGGGUAUCAAUAAUGUCGAGCACCCUACGACCAAACCAAAGGGUAUAAGCCAGUUAGUUAGGACUAUCCAAGUACUAUCCCUACUUCAACAACAUGACCUUCGUCCUCAGUUGAAUGGUGGUAGCUGGACCCUCGACGUCGACGACGAACGACACAAUGGGCUUUGGAAUGACGACGACUUUCUCCUCAGGAAUAAGGGAAGGGUGAUGCAUCAAGCAGUGACCAAAUAUGCACAUACAUCCAGUGGCGGAGACAGGUAUAGGGCCAC
rnacentral:lncRNA from 1 species